rnacentral:rRNA from 1 species
UACAGAGGCCCCAAGCGUUACUGAGAAUCACUGGGUUUAAAGGGUGCGUAGGUGGCGCGUUAAGUUCGUUGUGAAAUCCCUGGGCUCAACCCAGGAAUUGCUUCGAAUACUGGCGUGCUUGAGGCUAGUAGGGGUCACUGGAACUGACGGUGGAGCGGUGAAAUGCGUAGAUAUCGGAAGGAACACCUGUGGCGAAAGCGGCUCACUGGACCAUUACUGACGCUGAUGCACGAAAGCUAGGGGAGCAAACAGG